UCCGUUGGUGAACCAGCGGAGGGAUCAUUACAGAGUUGCAAAACUCCCUAAACCAUCGCGAACCCACCCCUAAACAGUUGCUUCGGCGGCGCCCGAAGGCCCUCACCGGCCGGAGUGCCCGCCGGGGACCCCCCAAACUCUUGUUUUUAACAAAAUGGCCUCUCUGAGUACUGUACUUUAAUAAGUCAAAACUUUCAACAACGGAUCUCUUGGUUCUGGCAUCGAUGAAGAACGCAGCGAAAUGCGAUAAGUAAUGUGAAUUGCAGACUUCAGUGAAUCAUCGAAUCUUUGAACGCACAUUGCGCCCGCGAGUAUUCUCGCGGGCAUGCCUGUUCGAGCGUCAUUUCAACCAUCAAGCCCCCGGCUUGUGUUGGGGACCUGCGGCUGCCCGCAGGCCCUGAAAUCCAGUGGCGGGCUCGCUGUCGCACCGAGCGUAGUAGCAUACUUCUCGCUCCGGGAGCGCGGCGGGCGCCUGCCGUAAAACCCCCUACAUACCAAAGGUUGACCUCGGAU
rnacentral:rRNA from 1 species